UACAGAGGUCCCAAGCGUUGUUCGGAUUCACUGGGCGUAAAGGGUGCGUAGGCGGUAGGGUAAGUUUGAGGUGAAAUCUCCGGGCUUAACCCGGAAAUUGCCUUGAAGACUAUCUUGCUAGAGGAUCGGAGGGGAGACUGGAAUUCUCGGUGUAGCAGUGAAAUGCGUAGAUAUCGAGAGGAACACCAGUGGAGAAGGCGAGUCUCUGGACGAUUCCUGACGCUGAGGCACGAAAGCCAGGGGAGCAAACGGG
rnacentral:rRNA from 1 species